rnacentral:rRNA from 1 species
UACGUAGGUGGCGAGCGUUGUCCGGAUUUACUGGGCGUAAAGGGAGCGUAGGCGGACUUUUAAGUGAGAUGUGAAAUACCCGGGCUCAACUCGGGUGCUGCAUUUCAAACUGGAAGUCUAGAGUGCAGGAGAGGAGAAUGGAAUUCCUAGUGUAGCGGUGAAAUGCGUAGAGAUUAGAAAGAACACCAGUGGCGAAGGCGAUUCUCUGGACUGUAACUGACGCUGAGGCUCGAAAGCGUGGGGAGCAAACAGGAUUAGAUACCCU